GGCUGCUGGCCGUGUCGUCUAACCUCUACACCGUGGUGGCCUUUAACUUCUUCCGCAAGUUCUACACAAGAGCGAGGACGAGACGAGCCGACAUGAAGUGAUGACAUGAUGACGUGCUACCUGUUCCACAUGUACGUGGGGGUGCGGGCGGGCGGGCAUCGGGGGACGAGAUCGAGGACCCAGCCGGCGACGAGUACGAGCUUUACCGCGUGGUUUCGACAUCACCUUCUUCUUCUUUGUCAUCGUCAUCCUGCUGGCCAUCAUCCAGGGCCUGAUCAUCGACGCCUUCGGGAGCUGCGCGACCAGCAGGAGCAGGUGAAGGAGGACAUGGAG